rnacentral:rRNA from 1 species
CUACGGGAGGUAGCAGUAAGGGAUAUUGGUCAAUGGGCGCAAGCCUGAACCAGCAACGCCGCGUGCAGGAUGACGGCCUUCGGGUUGUAAACUGCUUUUGUCGGGGACGAGCAAGGACGGUACCCGACGAACAAGUCACGGCUAACUACGUGCCAGCAGCCGCGGUAAAACGUAGGUGGCGAGCGUUAUCCGGAUUUACUGGGCGUAAAGCAUGUGCAGACGGGUUGGUAAGUGGUGUAUGAAAGCGUCCGGCUUAACCGGGCAAGCGUAUGCCAGACUGCCAGUCUUGAGAGUGGGAGAGGGAUGUGGAAUUCCGGGUGUAGUGGUGAAAUGCGUAGAGAUCCGGAGGAACCCCAGAGGCGAAGGCGGCGUCCUGGCCCAUUUCUGACGUUCAGACAUGACAGCAUGGGGAGCGAACGGGAUUAGAUACCCGUGUAGUCC